GAGGGUAUAGCUUAAGUGGUAGAGCGCAUGCUUAGAAUGCACAAGGUCCUGGGUUCAAUCCCCGGUAUCUCCU
rnacentral:tRNA from 1 species